AGUUCGGAUUGUAGUCUGCAACCCGACUACAUGAAGCUGGAAUCGCUAGUAAUCGCGAAUCAGAAUGUCGCGGUGAAUACGUUCCCGGGUCUUGUACACACCGCCCGUCACACUAUGGGAGUCGGAUAUGCCCGAAGCCGGUGACCUAACCGCAAGGAAGGAGCCGUCGAAGGUGGAGCCGAUGACUGGGGUGAAGUCGUAACAAGGUAUC
rnacentral:rRNA from 1 species